rnacentral:tRNA from 1 species
GGAAGCGGGAAUUUGUUUGGUUCCAUGUUUACUUUAUCAAAGUAGCCCUUGUGGUUUCAGGCACACUUCC